rnacentral:rRNA from 1 species
GACGAACGCUGGCGGCGUGCUUAACACAUGCAAGUCGAACGGUGAAGCGCCUUCCUUUUUGGUGGGUGUGGAUGAGUGGCGAACGGGUGAGUAACACGUGAGUAACCUGCCCCCUUCUUCUGGAUAACCGCAUGAAAGUGUGGCUAAUACGGGAUAUUCUGGGUCUGUCGCAUGAUGGGUCUGGGAAAGAUAUUGUUUCGGUGGGGGAUGGGCUCGCGGCCUAUCAGCUUGUUGGUGGGGUGAUGGCCUACCAAGGCGGUGACGGGUAGCCGGCCUGAGAGGGUGGACGGUCACACUGGGACUGAGACACGGCCCAGACUCCGACGGGAGGCAGCAGUGGGGAAUAUUGCACAAUGGGCGCAAGCCUGAUGCAGCGACGCCGCGGGAGGGAUGGAGGCCUUCGGGUUGUGAACCUCCUUCGCCAGUGAAGCAGGCCUGCCUCGUUUGUGGGUGGGUUGACGGUAGCUGGAUAAGAAGCGCCGGCUAACUACGUG